GAAAGGACUGCUAAGUUUGCUGCCCUGAUCAUUUUUAAUUUACAUGCAUUCAGUUUCUUUUACAUUAUUAUUGAUAAAUACUACAUUGCAGAAGAAGUGGCAAUAUAUCUUUAAGUGAAAGAUAUUGUUUGUGACCUUAGGGAAAUUUAUUUGGAUAUGCCGAUUAUGGUCUCAUUGAGAUUUACCAGACCUUCAUUCAAUUUCAGCACAUUUUUUACGUUCCAUUUAUGGACUUUAUGCUGUUCGUUCUGUGCGUCCGUUCGUUCUUCCGUUCAUCGGCCUGUUUGGCUUCAGGUUAAAGUUUUUUGGUAAAGGUAGUUUUUGAUGAAGUUGCAGUCUAAUCAAUUUGAAACACAGUACACAUAUUCCAUAUUACAAAUUGUGACUUGGAUGGAGAGUUGUCUCAUUGGCACUCAUAACACACCUUCUUAUAUCUAUAUAAUCUUUUGAUCGGUUUAAUUGGGGUCUUGAGCUGGCAUGUCAGUUACUGCUAGUAGUUUAAUUUAUGAAUUAGUUUCAUUUUGCGUAGUUUUUUUGUUGGUACCUAUUCCGACAUCGGACUAGGAUUUCUUUUAAACUGAGUGUUACUGUGCAAAUUGUUGUGUGUUUGUUUAUUCUACAUUGGCUAGCUAUAGUUGUAUAGUUGUAUAGUAGGAGGAUUUAGAUCUCACAAAGUAUGUUUAACCCCGCCGCAAUUUUUGCGCAUGUCCCAAGUCAGGAGACUCUGGCCUUUGUUAGUUGUUUUAUGGUGUUUUUUUUUAUUUUAUUUUAGUUUAGUGUAGACCUAUUGGUGGCCUUCGGUUGUUUUCUGUUUUCUGCUCUUUGGUUUGGCUGUUGUCUCUUUGCCACAUUCUUUAUUUCCAUUCUCAAUUGUAUUAAUUGAAUAAUUGAUUAGUUGAUUGCUUGAUUUGUUAAUUGAUUGCUUGCUUGAUUGAUUGAUUGAUUGCGGGAUUUGCUCAUUGUACUACAAACAAAAGUAAUGAUCAUUUGAGAAUCCUUUAUUUGUAUUGUAGUCUUCAUUUAACCAAUGAAACUCUACAUUUAC
rnacentral:lncRNA from 1 species